GAUGAACGCUAGCGGCAGGCUUAACACAUGCAAGUCGAGGGGUAUUGGUUUUCGGACCAAGAGACCGGCGCACGGGUGCGUAACGCGUAUGCAAUCUACCUUUUGCAGAGGGAUAGCCCAGAGAAAUUUGGAUUAAUACCUCAUAGUAUAGUACUUUGGCAUCAAGGAACUAUUAAAGUCACAACGGCAAAAGAUGAGCAUGCGUCCAUUAGCUAGUUGGUAAGGUAACGGCUUACCAAGGCUACGAUGGGUAGGGGUUCUGAGAGGGAGAUCCCCCACACUGGUACUGAGACACGGACCAGACUCCUACGGGAGGCAGCAGUGAGGAAUAUUGGACAAUGGGCGCAAGCCUGAUCCAGCCAUGCCGCGUGCAGGAUGACGGUCCUAUGGAUUGUAAACUGCUUUAUUACAGGAAGAAACAACUCCGACGUGUCGGAGCUUGACGGUACUGUAAGAAUAAGGAUCGGCUAACUCCGUGCCAGCAG
rnacentral:rRNA from 1 species